rnacentral:rRNA from 1 species
GACGAACGCUGGCGGCGUGCUUAACACAUGCAGGUCGAACGGUGAAGGGGUCUGCUUUUGUGGGCCCUGGAUGAGUGGCGAACGGGUGAGUAACACGUGAGUAACCUGCCCCCUUCUUCUGGAUAACCGCAUGAAAGUGUGGCUAAUACGGGAUAUUCUGGGUCUGUCGCAUGAUGGGUCUGGGAAAGAUUGCGCCUUUGGGUGUUUUUGGUGGGGGAUGGGCUCGCGGCCUAUCAGCUUGUUGGUGGGGUGAUGGCCUACCAAGGCGGUGACGGGUAGCCGGCCUGAGAGGGUGGACGGUCACACUGGGACUGAGACACGGCCCAGACUCCUACGGGAGGCAGCAGUGGGGAAUAUUGCACAAUGGGCGCAAGCCUGAUGCAGCGACGCCGCGUGAGGGAUGGAGGCCUUCGGGUUGUAAACCUCUUUCGCCAGUGAAGCAGGCCUGCUCCUUGUGGGUGGGUUGACGGUAGCUGGAUAAGAAGCGCCGGCUAACUACGUG